rnacentral:rRNA from 1 species
GAUGAACGCUAGCGGCAGGCCUAAUACAUGCAAGUCGAACGGUGUCUUCGGACAUAGUGGCGCACGGGUGCGUAACACGUAUGCAACCUACCUUACAUUGGGGGAUAGCCUUUCGAAAGGGAGAUUAAUACCGCAUAAGACAGUAGCUGGGCAUCCAGCAGCUGUUAAAGAUUUAUCGCUAUAAGCUGGGCAGGAGUCAGAUUAGCUAGUUGGUGAGGUAACGGCACACCAAGGCAAUGAUUGGUAGGGGAACUGAGAGGUCAAUCCCCCACACGGGCACUGAGAUACGGGCCAGACUCCUACGGGAGGCAGCAGUAGGGAAUAUUGGGCAAUGGACGCAAGUCUGACCCAGCCAUGCCGCGUGCAGGAUGAAGGCGUUAUGCGUUGUAAACUGCUUUUAUACAGGAAGAAACGACUCUUGCGAGAGGCAUUGACGGUACUGUAUGAAUAAGCACCGGCUAACUCCGUGCCAGCAGCCGCCGUAACAC